rnacentral:lncRNA from 1 species
AUGCCAGCCAGUUCCCAGGCGUGCUCACAUCUGAAAUUGAAUUUCUGCCGGGCGGUGGGGAAGGAGGGCUCGCUGCCGUGCGCUGCUUGCCCCGGUGCGAGGGAAGGGGUGGGGAGNNNNNNNNNNNNNNNNNNNNNNNNNNNNNNNNNNNNNNNNNNNNNNNNNNNNNNNNNNNNGGGUGGAGGGGGGGUGGGGGUUCUGCUCUCCAGCCUCCAGCAGGUGGUAGCACGCUGCCGGCUCCGCAUCCCCAGCUCUGCCACGUCCCAGCCCUGUCGCCGUCCCCAGCUCCGCUGCGUCCCCAUCCAGCGCUGCUGCGUUGUGCCCGGGCGUUGCUGGACGCUGAGCACCCCCAGCGCCCUCCAACUUGGUGCUGGAAACGGACCCUCGUCCAUCUCUGUGUCACCUGUGUCACGCUGCCUGGGGAAGGCGUGGAGCCCUGAAAGCUGCUAUCCCAACCCCAUGGCGGCAAGGAGGGGGGCUGGGGGGGGACAGGAAGGGAAAACCACCUCUUCCAGCUCCGCGGUGCUGCGUGAUGGUCUGCAGCCCAUUUUGGAAGCUCUAGAAACCUCGUUUUCUCCCAGCUCUGCAAGCAUUUGCUCCCUGCCCGUCUCUAGCUGUGGUCUGGCACCUCCCUCUGCAUGCAGUGUCUGUGGCAACGCAGCGCUGGAGGUGAGCGCUGGUCCUGAGCCCAGUGCUUGGAGCAAAGCUGGCUGGCAGCGAGGGCAGCCCGGGCACAGCGUGCAUCCCCAUUGCGCGACCCUGCACCGCGAGCACGAGAUCACUGCCGCUGUCCCUUUGCUGCAAACCGGGACCCAUGAGCGCUCUGUGGCUUUGCCCAUCGCUGCAGCCCCGCUUCUGCCCCAGCACCGCCGUGCACUGGUUCCCCUCCGUGCUCCGGGGACUGCUCGUCCCAAGCGGAGCACGCGGGCAGGGCUGGCCCCGUUCCAGAGCUCUUUGUUAUCUCCGGGGAACUCAACCAUUUCUGCACCUUGUUUACCUCCCGUUGCACAUGGGUGGAGGAAAGGUAAACACCAGCCUUUUGUUCACCAGCUCCUUUUCCUUGAGCCUCUUCCUCCUCUCCCCCGUCUCCAGCCACUUUCCCCCGGGUGCAGCCAGCCCUGCGGUGCUGAAGCCCCAAGGACAUCCACAGCGCUGCCAUUCCCCCCUCCCCAGUGCUGCCCAACAGAUACCCCAGCCCGGACCCCUCCCGGGGCUUCCUGUGCUUCCUGCACCCUUCAUGCUCCGUUUGCUGGGUGCCAGUGGCUUCUCCCAGAUCUAUCCCUGCAGUGGGCGAGGGACUGCUGCGCUGAGCAACCCAUGCCCAGGCGAAAGUCUGCAGUUUGUCAGAGCGAGCUGCUGAGAAAAUCAACGUGCCUGCCCUGCCGGGGAGUGCUCGUGUGGCAGAGGGGCACACCGGGGAAACCAGGCCGUGCAGAGAAAGUGCAGGGCAAAAAGCUUUCUGAGAGGGGACUGCUGCCCUCCCGGACCCUGAGCACCUUCUCAGGUUCACCAGAGCUGGCUGCUGGCCUUUCGUCUGUCUCAGCGUGUCCUUCCCUUUAUUAUCAGCUCACAGUCUGGAUGCAGAGGGAGCUGAGAACUCCCACCCUUUUCAUGGUGCUUGGCUGCCACGAUCUGCACUGA